rnacentral:rRNA from 1 species
UACGAAGGGGGCUAGCGUUGCUCGGAAUUACUGGGCGUAAAGGGCGCGUAGGCGGAUAUUUAAGUUGGGGGUGAAAUCCCGGGGCUCAACCUCGGAAUUGCCUUCAAAACUGGAUAUCUUGAGUUCGGGGAGAGGUGAGUGGAACUCCGAGGUGUAGAGGUGGAAAUUCGUAGAUAUUCGGAAGAACACCAGUGGCGAAGGCGACUCACUGGCCGAUGACU